GUGCUUUGCUAUUUUAAUUGACUUCAGAAUAUUGUGAUAUUAAGAAUUCAAUGAUGUAUAGCAAGGAGCCU
rnacentral:pre_miRNA from 1 species